rnacentral:lncRNA from 1 species
CUUCCAUGGGUGUUUACUCUAAAUUCUUGAUGCUUUGCAAAGUGAUCUUACUUGGAAUUAGGCCUUUGCAGAGACUGGAAGAUUACCAUGAGAUCAUUAGAGUGGACCCUGGUCCAGUGUGGCAAGUGUUCUUCUGAGAAAGCAAAGUUGGGACACAGUGACAGAUAGAGACAGAAGAAGGUGGCCUUCCACAUGCCAAGGAGAUGGGUCUCAAAUAGAUCCUUCCCUCACAGCUCAGGGGAGGCCCAGACCACCUGAGCACACCCUGCAGUGCAGGCUUCUAGCAAGCUGAGUCAUUCUUCAUUAGCAGAGAACCACCAGGGAGUGAUAGGACUAUUUAAAUUCACAUUCUGUAUAAUUGGAGCAUUAUGGGAAAUAACUCUAAACUUCUCUUUCAUUCUCCUGUUUUCUAGGGGGAGAAGAUCUUUCCAAAGUAUCCCACCUGAAUUCUCAAUGACAGGCCCCAUACAAAGCAUCAGGUGGCGUCUCUGAUAACAGGGAUCUGUCGGUGACAUUGGGUACACACCAGGCUUUAACAGAAACAAGACCAAGAAGACAUUAAAACUCUAAAGUUAAAUUAAUAGAGAAGAUUCUCCGAGAUGCUAAACCACGUGGACCUGGAAAGUCUUCCCUCCUUGUUGGCAACCGGGUGCUUGCCUCCUGC